CCCCUUUAAGAACAUUCGUCCCCGAAUGUUCAAACAAACAGGCACAUGCAUAUACAUAACAUAAGCACAAUCAUAACAACACAUAAGCUCUAAUCUAUAAAGAAACACGGUAUCACUGGAGUAUGAACUCUCGGUCUCCCUGGUGCACUUUUCAUCUUAAGGUGAUUCUAAGGGACUUUCACCGUCGGGAUUUCCUUGUUUCCACACUUUCUAACUUGUGUGUCUGCGGUCCGUACUAGCUGC
rnacentral:lncRNA from 1 species